AUUGAACGCUGGCGGCAUGCCUUACACAUGCAAGUCGAACGGCAGCACGGGAGCAAUCCUGGUGGCGAGUGGCGAACGGGUGAGUAAUACAUCGGAACGUGCCCUGUAGUGGGGGAUAACCCGGCGAAAGCCGGACUAAUACCGCAUACGACCUGAGGGUGAAAGCGGGGGAUCGCAAGACCUCGCGCUAUGGGAGCGGCCGAUGUCAGAUUAGCUAGUUGGUGGGGAAAGGCCUACCAAGGCGACGAUCUGUAGCUGGUCUGAGAGGACGACCAGCCACACUGGGACUGAGACACGGCCCAGACUCCUACGGGAGGCAGCAGUGGGGAAUUUUGGACAAUGGGCGCAAGCCUGAUCCAGCCAUGCCGCGUGCGGGAAGAAGGCCUGGUGUAAC
rnacentral:rRNA from 1 species